AACUUUCAACAACGGAUCUCUUGGCUCUCGCAUCGAUGAAGAACGCAGCGAAUUGCGAUAAGUAAUGUGAAUUGCAGAAUUCAGUGAAUCAUCGAAUCUUUGAACGCAGCUUGCGCUCUCUGGUAUUCCGGAGAGCAUGCCUGUUUCAGUGUCAUGA
rnacentral:rRNA from 1 species